CUGAUCUUUGAAAGUACAGAAGUCUUGCACAUAGGGAUAUCAACUGAAGCUAUUCAUAGUGUGACACAAAUUCAUAUCAUGAAAUACAAUGUUUUUCAUUGUAUAAAGGACCGUUUUUUU
rnacentral:ncRNA from 1 species